CUUUGCAGGGGGCAAACCAGGCUCUGAAUCACUCUGCCAUCAACUCCCCAACAUUUUUAAGCUUCUUGGGCUUCCAUUCCCUUUUCCAGAGCUGGGGCAAAGCCCAAACCAGGGCCACGCAAGGAGGCCUGUGAAGAGGUGCUGGCCCAGAAACCGCUACUGUCCUGGGAUGAGGAAGCACAGAAUCGGACCAUUCAAUUUCCAAUUUUAGCCCAAUGAGAGGAAAGACCAUUUUUGCAAACUUGUGAUUGUUCGAGGGCCCGAGGCCCCUGAUCCUCAAGUAUUGAAAUGCUCCAGACGGCGGGACUUUGGUUCGAGGCAUAGAACCUGAAGUGAAAAGAUGGUGUAUUAAUUUUCCUUGAUUCCAAGAACUGAACCAGAGAAGAGUCUGCUUCCUUGGAUUACUCUUGUUAUUUUAAAAGCUAUAACUGUAUGUAUUUGUUUUCAAUUUCUUUUGUACUUAGGUAAAAACUGGA